GACUCUUGACAUUCUUCACUUCCAGUUCUUUCUCGGUAAAAACUUCAUCCGCACCCAAAUUCUUAAGUCUUUCUUUUACUUCAUCAACCUCAGCCCUGCCACACCUGUCUCUUAUAAUGUUUAUGUUACGAAUGCCACGAGAUUUUGCAAUCUGAAUGACACACUGCCCAACCAUGCUUGUGGCCCCAUUUUGCACAAUAGUAUCUCCUUUGUAGCAAAAGGCUGUGCCUGAGUUCAAAGUAAUGCAGUCCUCAAGCAUAAGGAGAGCAGUCAAUGGAUUAACUGUAAUUGUAGCAGCAUAUUCCAUAGGUACACCCUUGUCUACUUUGUGC